CGCCACAGCAGCUGUUCCACUAUUACACUACACUAUCACUGCUACAGCGUCUGUAAUUUUUCAUCAUCAGCACGCUCCCCCAAACUCCCUCUGAUCUGCAGUUCAUUACCGAGUGCUCAUUCGGUGCCUUGGAGCAACUGGCUCAAUGUUCUUCUCCCCGCUGCUCCAGUGCCCUCAAUACCAAGCCCUCACUUUAAAAGUGUCUGACAAAACGCGCAGCUUGGCGCAGCUCACUUGGACAGCGGGGAUAUUACGCGGAGCAAAAAGAAAGUGUCUGACAGCCAGGCGGCUACCUCGAGGGAACUGUGCUCAGACGAACACAGAAUCCCUAACCACAGGGUGAUCCAGGUUCCAUGCAACUUCCCCGGUCCAGGUUAAAUACCACCUGUGAUGAGCACCACGGCGAGCACGUAACAGAACGCGCUUAAGCGGGGAGACCGGUGUCAUCCCCUGGCUGGACGCCGGGGCAGGUUGCGCGUAUCAGCCUGCGUUAACAGGCAUGUGAGUGCACACCGACAUUCCUUCAGGAGCCUGGAAGUGCGUCGCUCGAGAAGCGACGCUCGCAGCUACACCUCCGCGAGAAACUCGAGACUACGGCAGCACAUGCAAGAGGCAAUAAAAAAGUGCCAAUUAAAAGCGAGACAGACCUUGGGAGAGCAAGAGGCAUGCUACUGCAGGCAGCUUCUGCAGAAUGAUGAGACGCACAAGGAGAAGGACCUACUGUGUUUCUCUGGCAGAACUCCCAGCUCCAUACUCCUCGAGUCUUCCAAAUCCAGGCAAAGACCCCUAACAAGCACGCUGUCGGCAACAGCAGGAGGACGAAUCUUCUUCAUGAGGGAGGAACUUUUGAGACAAGCUCGACGGAGCUCGCGUCUUCAUGUGGGAACUCGGGAGAGCACAGAAGAAAGCAGAAAGCUCAGGCUAUGUGGAGUCCAUUGGAAAUCAGCCGCCUGAAGCAUCAGCUCAAAGACAAUUUGUCCAAAUGUUUGCAUGUGUGCCCACAUGUGAGUGUGGCUCACAGUUCUCUCUAGAUGGGUGUCCUCUAUGGCCUCUAUAUACUGCUUUUGAGUUUGUGUCCAUGCAGAAUAAAUUCAUGCUGUGCAGCAUACGUUCUCUCAA